GGUCGUGAAGACUCUAUCAGUUAGUAUUUGUUCUCGAAAGGGCUUUGAUUAAUAUUGAAGAAUCGGACAUAGUACGCUAAGGUUGUAUGUCUAAAGGGAAACAGCCCAGAACAAGUGUUAAUAAGGUUCCAAAAUUAUUAUUAAGUGAAACAAAGGUAGUUUAUCUCUUAAACGUCCAGGAAAUAGGCUUAGAAGCGGCCAUUUUUUAAAGACCUCGUAACAGAGCACUGGUUUUAUUCUAAUUUAUAUGUAUAAAUAAGAUCGAGAAAAGCACCGACGAUUACACGGAUCUAAAUAAUAUACCGAAACCUUGUCCAUGUAUAUUUAUAUAUACUUAAUAGUAAAAAAUAAGCGUGUUCUAUUUAUAAGUUAUAUAUUAUAUAGCGGGGUAGCGGAACAUUGGGCAAACCACACAUUUUUUUUAUAAAAAUUUUUAGGUACCCCAAGUGAUAAUGCUGACAUGAGUAACGAUAAAGGGAUAAAUCCCUCGCCUAAAGCUUAUGGAAUUUAGUUAAAGUAACGGCCUCUAAGUUUAUAAAUAAAAAACUAAAAUACACUAUUUUGGAGUAUUUUAAUUAUCCUAAGGGAUUAAACGAUGAGCAAAGCUAUAAAGAUACAAAUAAACAACAUUUAUAGACAGUUUACAAGAAAAGCAAUAAUUGUGUUAAAGUGAUAAAUGUUCUGGAAAAUAAUAUCUAAUAUAAAGUUUAUUAAUAUGAGUAGUUUAAAGAAAAUAUAUAAAUUUUAAAUAUACCGUACCUAAAAACUACCACAAGUAAGCAAGUAGAG
rnacentral:rRNA from 1 species